GGGCCGUGCCGGGGGCGUGGGGGGGCUUAAAAGGGAGAUGGGGUCCCUGGCACAGCCCCAUCGUGGUGGGGAGAAGGAGCUGGUGGGAUCGCGCCAUGGCCUGGGCCCCUCUGCUCCUCGCGCUGCUCGCCCAUGGCUCAGGUUCCCUGGUCCAGGCAGUGCUGACUCAGCCCCCAUCGCUCUCAGUGGAGCCAGGAAAGAACGCCCAGAUCACCUGCUCUGGUGGUGGCAGCUACUAUGGCUGGUACCAGCAGAAGGUGCCUGGCGGUGCCAUUGUCACUGUGAUCUAUGCUAACAGCAGGAGACCCUCGGGCAUCCCUUCACGAUUCUCCGGAUCCAACUCUGGCUCCACAGCCACGUUAACCAUCACUGGGGUCCAACCCGAGGACGAGGCCGUCUAUUACUGUGGGAGCUGGGACAGCAGUGCUGCUGCUGGCACGGUGGCAAAGAGUAAUGAGGAAGUGAUACAAAAACCCCGUCACCACAGGGACCCAUCAGGAGUCCCUGCUGUCUCUGUGUCAUGGUGA